rnacentral:tRNA from 1 species
UGCUCGCCCGGGUGGAGUUCCCCGGUCGGCGUCUGGUGCGCGCCCUGGUCACCGUGCCACUGGUGCUUCCGCCGGUGGUGGGCGGC